AGUUUGAUUCUGAACGAUUGAACGCUGGCGGGAUGUUUUACACAUGCAAGCCGAACGGCAGCACGGACUUUCGGUCUGGUGGCGAGUGGCGAGAACGGGUGAGUAAUGACGUACCGGAACGUGCCUAGUAGCGGGGGAUAACUACGCGAAAGCGUAGCCAUUACCGUACGCCCUUUCGGGGGAAAGCGGGGACCUUCGGGCCUCGCACUAUUAGAGUGGCCGAUAUCGGAUUAGCUAGUUGGUGGGUAACGGCUCACUACAUAUGACGAUCCGUAGCUGGUUUGAGAGGACGACCAGCCACACUGGGACGAGACACGGCCGAUCGAGGCAGGAGGUGGGGAACACUGCAGAUAAUGGAAACUUUAUCCAGCCAUCUGUGUGUUAGAUGAAGGGCCUAGUUGCAAAUAAUUUUUAAGUGAGCGAAAUGGGAAGUAUUUGAGCUACCUACCCCGUAACUCGACGUACCUAAGAAUAAGCACCGGCUAACUGGCCACAAAGGCAUGCCGCACAUGCAGGCAAGCGUUAAUCGGAAUUACUGGGGCGUAAAGCGUGUGCAGGGCGGUUCGGAAAGAAAGAUGUGAAAUCCCAGAGCUAACUUUUGGGAACUGUACUUUUAACUACCGAGCUAGACAGCUUAUAUAAAGAAUCAGUGGUAGGUGGAAUAUGUAGAUGGCGGAGGAACACCGGAUGGCGAAGGCAGCCUCCUUGGGAUAACACUGACGCUCAUGCACGAAAGGGGAGCAACAGAUUAGAUACCCUGGUAGUCCACGCCUGUAAAUGAUGUCAACUAGCUGGUUAGCCCCGGGCCUGCAGAGGAAGUAUAACGCGUGAAGUUGACCGCCUGGGGAUACGGUCGCAAGAUUAAAACCGAAGAAUUGACGGGGACUCCGCACAAGCGGUGGAUGAUGGGAUUAACGAUGCGCAAAAUCUGGCAACCUACUCACUCCUUGACGAUGGUCGAACCUUUGAAGAGAUUUGGGAGUGCUCGCAGAGGUCCCGGAACACAGGUGGCUGAAGAGGAUGCCGCUGCCACAGGUCGUGAGAUGUUAAGCAGUCCCGCAACGAGCGCCAGCAACCCUUGUCAUUAGUUGCUACGAAAGGGCACUUAAUGAGACUGCCGGUGAUACAAACCGGAGGAAGGUGGAGAUGACGUCAAGUCCUCACGGGCCUUGUAAGAGGGCUUCCGUGUUAACGCUUUCCGUAUGGGAACAUAUCGGGGACAGAGGGUCGCUAACCUUAGGGGAGCCAACUUCAGAAACCCGAUCGUAGUCCGGAUCGUAGUCUGUAAACCUGACUGCGUGGUCAAUCGCUAGUAAUCGCGGAUCAAAGUAGCCAAACGCAGUGAAUACGUUCCUACCACGCUACACCGCCCGUCACACCAUGGGAGGGUUUACCAGAGAAGCAGUUAGCCUAACCGCAAGGAUAAAGAUUACCACGCAGAGGGAUUCAUGAUUCGGGUGAAGUCAACAAGGUA
rnacentral:rRNA from 1 species